GCCACUUUGACAGAAAAGAAGUCUGUGCAAGAACAAUUUAGAUUAGGAAUUUAAAAAGAUUCUACAAUUUUCUUGGAACUAGAAGGAUGAGGAGAGUACAAACCAAAACAGUAGUCAAAGAAAGAGAGCUCACCUGAAUUUUGAUUACUUUUUUCAAGAAACCCAUCAGCCAAACAAAUCCAAGACUCAAACAGAACAAAGAAAAAAGAAAGAAGAAGAAGAAAUGACCCCAUCGUGGUUCUUGACCAAGCCUGAUCUGCACUGGCUGGCUCAGUGAGCCAUGGGAGAUCGAGAUAGUGAUGAAGAAUGACAGAUUCUGAGAAGUGAGCACUUUCUAUUAUAUUACCUUUGUUUCUUUCCUAACCCCAAGUGCCAAUAGCAGCUGGCAGUGCUACUGGAACUUUGAUUACUGGGUGUGGAUGGUCCUUGAGGAAUAUGCAUCCUUAUACUUAGCUUGUGCAUGCCCUAGAUGAUGAUGAUGUUGAUGAUGAUGAAGAAGUUGAGAAUAGGGAUGAUGAUGAAGAGGAUCUUCGGAGAAGGCGGAGGGAUGUGCUACGUCUCCGGCUACGUGACUUCGCCGCCAGAGCUGCCAAUCGGCGAAACCGGAUUCUGGACUGGGCAGAGAUUCUGAUGGGACUGGAAGACCACUCUAUUGAGCUCCGGUUACAAGUUCCUGAUGGCGAUGGCUACGUCGGGAACCCUGGAGACUAUGUGGACGCAGAGGGUUAUGAAGCUUUACUGCAAACCCUAGCCGAGAGUGAUGGUGGUGGAAGACGAGGAGCUCCACCAGCUUCCAAGAGUGCAAUUGAGGGUCUCAAUACAUUGGUGAUCAAGGAAGAGCAGGAG
rnacentral:misc_RNA from 1 species